rnacentral:rRNA from 1 species
UAGUAGCGGCGAGCGAAGCGGGAAGAGCUCAAAUUUAUAAUCUGGCACUUUCGGUGUCCGAGUUGUAAUCUCUAGAAAUGUUUUCCGCGUUGGACCGCACACAAGUCUGUUGGAAUACAGCGGCAUAGUGGUGAGACCCCCGUAUAUGGUGCGGACGCCCAGCGCUUUGUGAUACAUUUUCGAAGAGUCGAGUUGUUUGGGAAUGCAGCUCAAAUUGGGUGGUAAAUUCCAUCUAAAGCUAAAUAUUGGCGAGAGACCGAUAGCGAACAAGUACCGUGAGGGAAAGAUGAAAAGCACUUUGGAAAGAGAGUUAACAGUACGUGAAAUUGUUGGAAGGGAAACGCUUGAAGUCAGACUUGCUUGCCGAGCAAUCGGUUUGCAGGCCAGCAUCAGUUUUCCGGGAUGGAUAAUGGUAGAGAGAAGGUAGCAGUUUCGGCUGUGUUAUAGCUCUCUGCUGGAUACAUCUUGGGGGACUGAGGAACGCAGUGUGCCUUUGGCGGGGGUUUCGACCUCUUCACACUUAGGAUGCUGGUGGAAUGGCUUUAAACGACCCGUCUUGAAACACGGACCAAGGAGUCUAACAUGCUUGCGAGUAUUUGGGUGUCAAACCCGGAUGCGUAAUGAAAGUGAAUGGAGGUGGGAACCGCAAGGUGCACCAUCGACCGAUCUGGAUUUUUAAUGAUGGAUUUGAGUAAGAGCACGUAUGUUGGGACCCGAAAGAUGGUGAACUAUGCCUGAAUAGGGCGAAGCCAGAGGAAACUCUGGUGGAGGCUCGUAGCGGUUCUGACGUGCAAAUCGAUCGUCAAAUUUGGGUAUAGGGGCGAAAGAC